rnacentral:rRNA from 1 species
UACGUAGGGUGCAAGCGUUAUUCGGAAUCACUGGGCGUAAAGCGUGCGCAGGCGGCGAUGUAAGACAGAUGUGAAAGCCCCGGGCUCAACCUGGGAACUGCAUUUGUGACUGCAUCGCUGGAGUGCGGCAGAGGGGGAUGGAAUUCCGCGUGUAGCAGUGAAAUGCGUAGAUAUGCGGAGGAACACCGAUGGCGAAGGCAAUCCCCUGGGCCUGCACUGACGCUCAUGCACGAAAGCGUGGGGAGCAAACAGG